rnacentral:lncRNA from 1 species
CCUGUAAGUGCCAGCCUACUCCCACCCUUAGACUCAGGCAGGAGGGCCCCUGUGCUGGACCCUCACAGGAGAGGGUGCCCACUAGCCCCACUCUGGCUGCUCCUGCCCACGGGCCAAGGAAUUUCCUGCCCUAGCAGCCCAGGGCCAGCUGCCUGGGCCUGCGUGGGCCUCUUCACCAGGCCCCCAAGCCCCAGGAUGUGGGAAGGAAGAGAGUGUGGUAUUUUUCAAGGGGCAUAGGCAGCAUUUGCACCCUGUGCUGCGAAUCUACACCCCUGACUCAGGACCUUUCUGGCUGGGAAUGGAAUAGAGGAUGGGAUGGGAAGAGAAUAGGUGUGGCUGGGUAUCCCCACACCACCAUGUUCCCAAACCAGAUUCUAUCUGGUCUUCUAGGACACGAUAAAGAUGCAUGUGUUAAGACAAGAAGGUAGAACAUAUUUUCUUUAACAGUUUCUCAGUUUGAUUGGUAACUUUUCAUAUUUAAACAGAUGCUAUGGGGGCUGCCAUUUGUACUCUCGUCUCAGAUCUCAAGAAGCACAGGCGACCUGCCACAUCCAAUGCUUGCCUUCUGCAGUGCUCUGCAAAUGCUAGAUGUGGAGUUUGAGGACCCAUCAUUUUACCAAAGAAGUUUUCCACCAAAAUAGAAUGAAGGGCUUUUCCCAAUUUGCUAAACAAAAUUAAUAGAUAGAACUUUCUGAAUUUUUAAUCUUUUUGAGAAAUUAUUUUCUUAGAGACAGGAUCUUGCUCUGUCACCCAGGAUGGAGUGCAGUGGUGCCAUCAUAGCUCACCUAAGCCUCAAACUCCCAGAUUCAAGCAAUUCUCCUUCCUUAGCCUCCCGAGUAGCUGGGACUACAGGCUCGCAUCACCAUACCCGGCUAAUUUUUUUCAUUUUUUAAAUAGACGGGGUCUCACUAUAUUGCUCAGGCUAGUCUCAAAUUCCUGGACUCCAGACAUCUUCCCACUUUGGCCUCCCAAAGUGUUGCCAUUACAGGCAUGAACCACUGUGCCCGACCCUGAUUUUAUAAUUUUGACUCAAUUUUCUUUUUCUAGAAUGUUUAGUGCCAGCUACUGCUUACCUGCUAGCAGUUGUAAGCAAAUAAAAUAAACAAAAUGUAUUAGUCCUUUCUCAUACUGCUAUAAA